ACAGGGUCCUAUUCCUCAGAUGUCUGCUGCCCACCAGCUGCAAGCCAUGCAUGCUCAUCUGCAGAGCUGCAGAGGAUGGCAAUGGAACAGCAAUGGCUUCAUGGACAUCAUCUGCAUGGAGGCCCUCUACCUGGACAAGAAGAUUAUUACAGUCGUCUGAAGAAAGAAGGUGACAAGCCAUCUUAAACCCCAUUUGGUGCACGUCCUGAAACCCUACACUAUACUCAAAAGUGGAAUACUGUGUACCUUUAAGACAACAAAAGAAUAUUUGUGUCGAUUUUUGUUUUAAUAUAUUUUAGAAAUAUGCUUGUGGAUCCUUAUGUGUAUUCUGCGUUCAGCACUUAAUGGGACUUUGAAAGUCUGCUUGUAAUUUUCACUUCAGUUACAUAAGACUUUAUACUCUUUGAUUAUCAAAAUAUUAUAGACAUUCACAAAAUUCGUGUGAAAUCUAGUGGCAGAUUUGCUCAAAUAUGUUUAUUUGUUUCAUAUACAGUAAUGUAAACAGAUAUAAAAAAAAAAAGCCAGACUUUGGUGAUAAUAGUUCUAAAUGAUGUCUUU